rnacentral:rRNA from 1 species
UGGGGAAUAUUGCACAAUGGGGGAAACCCUGAUGCAGCAACGCCGCGUGAGUGAUGAAGGUCUUCGGAUUGUAAAGCUCUGUCUUUGGGGACGAUAAUGACGGUACCCAAGGAGGAAGCCACGGCUAACUACGUGCCAGCAGCCGCGGUAAUACGUAGGUGGCAAGCGUUGUCCGGAUUUACUGGGCGUAAAGGGAGCGUAGGCGGACUUUUAAGUGGGAUGUGAAAUACUCGGGCUUAACCUGAGUGCUGCAUUCCAAACUGGAAGUCUAGAGUACAGGAGGGGAAAGUGGAAUUCCUAGUGUAGCGGUGAAAUGCGUAGAGAUUAGGAAGAACACCGGUGGCGAAGGCGACUUUCUGGACUGUAACUGACGCUGAGGCUCGAAAGCGUGGGGAGCAAACA